rnacentral:lncRNA from 1 species
CAAGGGAGAGUAUGAAAGCAAUGGAUGAAUUAAAUUGAUCAGUCUUCGGCGGGCACCACUUUUCCAUCCACCACUUCAUUAUCCAGCGACACCAUGCUGAGAUCCAGGUCGGGGAACAAGCAGGCGAAUUGUUCCCGUGCAGCUUCGAAUCCAGCGGCCAGAAUUUGAGCAGAGUUUAGCUUGAGUUCUUCAAUUUGCUUCUGAAGUUCCUCAAUCCGCUUCUUGAGAUCUUCAGUUUGCUCUUUCAGCUCCUU